rnacentral:rRNA from 1 species
UACGUAGGGUGCGAGCGUUGUCCGGAAUUAUUGGGCGUAAAGAGCUUGUAGGCGGUUUGUCGCGUCUGCUGUGAAAAUCCGGGGCUCAACCCCGGACUUGCAGUGGGUACGGGCAGACUAGAGUGUGGUAGGGGAGACUGGAAUUCCUGGUGUAGCGGUGAAAUGCGCAGAUAUCAGGAGGAACACCGGUGGCGAAGGCGGGUCUCUGGGCCGAUUACUGACGCUGAGGAGCGAAAAGCGUGGGGGAGCGAAACAGG